rnacentral:lncRNA from 1 species
UGUGGAAAGAAACAUAUAAAAAAAAAAUAUUUUAUUCACGGUUUUUAAUUGCAAGUCAUGCAGUGAUAACUUUUGUGCGAAAUUAGUUGAAAUGCUUAAAACAUGUUGGUCGUAAAAAUCAGCUCUUGAAUAUGCAGAACUCUUUGGUUAGCUCACGUUUUUAUCACUAUAUUUCAGUUACAAAAUUGGACUAAAGCUUGUUGGUGGAACUUCAUCAUAAAAUGUCAUCAUUUGGACAUUAAUAAUCCAUUUGACAUUAAAAAGGAUUUUUAAUUGAAAGGUUGACGUUGCUGAAUAAUCCAAUUCAUGCUCUUAAUGCAUUGCUCUACAGUUUCUCAUAGCAUUCAUUUGUUGAUUAACGUGUAGAGGGUCUUUUGGAAGCAUAUCAGAUAUCUCAUGAAUAAUUUGGUCAAUGAUUUGUCAUUAAAAUAUCAUUAUUUACAAGGCAAAUGGAAAUCAUACGGUUAUGAAUAGAAUUGGAACAAUCAGGUCACAUUUUACCACUAGUAGCAUAUGGACAUUCUAGUUGAUGGUUAUGAAUCAUGGCAGCAGACUCUCUCUCCCCAUUGGACCGUUAUUAAAGAAAAGAAAGGACCAAGUCACAUUUUGGCAAGUUGUUCACACCUUUUGGACUC